rnacentral:rRNA from 1 species
AUUGAACGCUGGCGGCAUGCUUUACACAUGCAAGUCGGACGGCAGCACAGAGGAGCUUGCUUCUUGGGUGGCGAGUGGCGAACGGGUGAGUAACGCAUCGGAACGUACCGAGUAAUGGGGGAUAACUGUCCGAAAGGACAGCUAAUACCGCAUACGCCCUGAGGGGGAAAGCGGGGGAUCUUAGGACCUCGCGUUAUUCGAGCGGCCGAUGUCUGAUUAGCUGGUUGGCGGGGUAAAGGCCCACCAAGGCGACGAGCAGUAGCGGGUCUGAGAGGAUGAUCCGCCACACUGGGACUGAGACACGGCCCAGACUCCUACGGGAGGCAGCAGUGGGGAAUUUUGGACAAUGGGCGCAAGCCUGAUCCAGCCAUGCCGCGUGUCUGAAGAAGGCCUUCGGGUUGUAAAGGACUUUUGUCAGGGAAGAAAAGGGGCAUGUUAAUACCGUGCUCUGAUGACGGUACCUGAAGAAUAAGCACCGGCUAACUACGUG